rnacentral:rRNA from 1 species
UACGAAGGGUGCAAGCGUUACUCGGAAUUACUGGGCGUAAAGCGUGCGUAGGCGGUUUGUUAAGUCCGUUGUGAAAGCCCUGGGCUCAACCUGGGAAUUGCAGUGGAUACUGGCGAGCUAGAGUGCGGUAGAGGAUGGUGGAAUUCCCGGUGUAGCGGUGAAAUGCGUAGAGAUCGGGAGGAACACCCGUGGCGAAGGCGGCCUUCUGGACAGUGACGUGACGCUGAGACGCGAAAGCGUGGGGAGCAAACAGG